rnacentral:rRNA from 1 species
GAUGAACGCUGGCGGCGUGCCUAAUACAUGCAAGUCGAGCGAACGGACGAGAAGCUUGCUUCUCUGAUGUUAGCGGCGGACGGGUGAGUAACACGUGGAUAACCUACCUAUAAGACUGGGAUAACUUCGGGAAACCGGAGCUAAUACCGGAUAAUAUUUUGAACCGCAUGGUUCAAAAGUGAAAGACGGUCUUGCUGUCACUUAUAGAUGGAUCCGCGCUGCAUUAGCUAGUUGGUAAGGUAACGGCUUACCAAGGCAACGAUGCAUAGCCGACCUGAGAGGGUGAUCGGCCACACUGGAACUGAGACACGGUCCAGACUCCUACGGGAGGCAGCAGUAGGGAAUCUUCCGCAGUGGGCGAAAGCCUGACGGAGCAACGCCGCGUGAGUGAUGAAGGUCUUCGGAUCGUAAAACUCUGUUAUUAGGGAAGAACAUAUGUGUAAGUAACUGUGCACAUCUUGACGGUACCUAAUCAGAAAGCCACGGCUAACUACGUGCCAGCAGCCGCGGUAAUACGUAGGUGGCAAGCGUUAUCCGGAAUUAUUGGGUGUAAAGCGCGCGUAGGCGGUUUUUUAAGUCUGAUGUGAAAGCCCACGGCUCAACCGUGGAGGGUCAUUGGAAACUGGAAAACUUGAGUGCAGAAGAGGAAAGUGGAAUUCCAUGUGUAGCGGUGAAAUGCGCAGAGAUAUGGAGGAACACCAGUGGCGAAGGCGACUUUCUGGUCUGUAACUGACGCUGAUGUGCGAAAGCGUGGGGAUCAAACAGGAUUAGAUACCCUGGUAGUCCACGCCGUAAACGAUGAGUGCUAAGUGUUAGGGGGUUUCCGCCCCUUAGUGCUGCAGCUAACGCAUUAAGCACUCCGCCUGGGGAGUACGACCGCAAGGUUGAAACUCAAAGGAAUUGACGGGGACCCGCACAAGCGGUGGAGCAUGUGGUUUAAUUCGAAGCAACGCGAAGAACCUUACCAAAUCUUGACAUCCUUUGACAACUCUAGAGAUAGAGCUUUCCCCUUCGGGGGACAGAGUGACAGGUGGUGCAUGGUUGUCGUCAGCUCGUGUCGUGAGAUGUUGGGUUAAGUCCCGCAACGAGCGCAACCCUUAAGCUUAGUUGCCAUCAUUAAGUUGGGCACUCUAAGUUGACUGCCGGUGACAAACCGGAGGAAGGUGGGGAUGACGUCAAAUCAUCAUGCCCCUUAUGAUUUGGGCUACACACGUGCUACAAUGGACAAUACAAAGGGCAGCGAAACCGUGAGGUCAAGCAAAUCCCAUAAAGUUGUUCUCAGUUCGGAUUGUAGUCUGCAACUCGACUACAUGAAGCUGGAAUCGCUAGUAAUCGUAGAUCAGCAUGCUACGGUGAAUACGUUCCCGGGUCU